CAUGGUUGCAAUCUGCCACAACACCAAGAGAAGAAGAAGUCAUGACUGCCAUGGUUACAGUUCCUGGCUUCACCUCCGAUAUGAACUGAUUAUCUGACGUAAAGCUUGUUUUUUAUGUUAAACGUUGUGUUAGUGCCUCUGAAAUGUGGAGGUUAAACAAAGUUCGCCAUAAAGCUGGCGGACAUGCAAACACCCUGGAGGAGCUGAGGCUGAGGAGGAGAGAGAAAGAACGAGCGCUGAGACAAGCGCGUAGAGACAGACAACUUGUAAGCAAGAGGCUCAUCCUUAAUGAAGAUGAAGAACAGGACCUUAUGGAGAUAACACCUGGGGAACAGGAUGUGGUCAGCUUGUUCCAUGCACUUCAGCACAGCGGCACAGAUAAAGAGGCAUACCUGAGAACCCUGAGUAAAGCGCUGCGUAACCCAUCCGCUCAACUCAUCUUCAUCAAGCUGGAGAACAGCAUGCACCUGCUGGUCGGCCUCCUCACCGGCUCUGACGCUCGGUGCCGUCUGCAGGCUGUUCGCUGUCUUCAUGAGCUGUCUCACUCCCCCCACACCAGCAUGGCGUCCGCCUGCCUGCCCGCCACUCCCUAUCUGCUCACAUACCUGUCUGGCCAGAGCACCAAGUUCACAGAGCUAUGUCUGUACACACUGGGUAAUAUAUGCCCAGACAGUGAGGUUGUGAAAGAGAGGCUUCUGGCCCAAGGAAUCAUACCAGCACUGGCCAGUUGUAUACAGAACCGUACACAUAACCUGGCAGUGGUGGAAGCUGCAGGCUUCACCCUCUUUCAGCUUCUGCAGACCAAAGAUGCCGUACAGAAAGUAAUCCCGAUGGUCCUGGCCUCCAGCUUACCUUCACAGUUGUUAUCAGUUCUGACCCCUGACCCCGAGUUUGGUCUGGCCCCAGCUAUAGAGUGUGCAUGGUGUCUGCACUCCCUUACAUCAAGCGCUGUGGAUCACAGAGAGCUGUUGGCACAAGGGGCCUUGACGCAGUGCAGUUCAUUACUAGUGUCACUAGGUGGUGCUGUGGUCGAUGGAAACACUGACCAAGGAGUGGAGCUGCUUGUGUGUCCUCUGCUGAGGUGUGUGGGAAACCUCCUGUCGUCCUGCCCUGUUGAAGCUCUUAGCUCUCAGCUGGGUGAUGUUCAUCUUGUGGCGGCUCUGUGUGAACUUGUUUUUGCCUUCCUGCACACCUUUCCGGCCUUGGCCAGAGAGACGGCCUGGGUCCUCAACAACCUCACAGCCCACUCCACAGAACUCUGCUCUGCUCUCUUAACGUUCAACCUGGCGCCGAGGCUGAUGGAGCUUCUGCCUUUUUCUCAAGGCAUUAAUACGAUGAUCCUAAGAGUUUUAGCAAAUGUUGCCCACAAGAAGAAGGAGUUCUGCAUCCGGCUGGCGGAGCUCGGACUGCUUUCUGCCCUCGCUGCCACACUAAAAAUGGCCAACCAGGACAUGGUGACUCUGAGUCUGGAGGUCUUGUUCAUGAUGAUUGUUAGCUCUCCACAGAUGACAUUGUUCCCCACAGAUAGCAGAGCAGUUUGUCAGGCAAGGUGGACUUUCAGUUUUAGAAGCCAUUCAGUACAACAAUGAAGGAGAGGUGAGGCGAAGGGCAACACACCUCCUGGAGCAGCACAUACUCACCUAGGAAAUAGUGGGACGUUUCUGGUGACCCGACCUAACAUUGGGACGUUUAAUAUUUAAUGAAGAAAGCGAUACAUUUUUAAGAUCUUCAAAAAUGAUGCAUUGUAUACACGUGUUUUUUUUAAGUACUGCACAAUUUGACAUCUCCAUGAAGAUAAAAUCAUUUUUACAUUUCUGGUAUGUUGUUUCUGAAAUCGUAUUUUUCUACAAUGGGAAUGUGUGUCUACAGUAUUUAUAUUCACUGUGAUGUAAGUACACCUUUGGCACUGUGUGAGAUGUAAGUGCAACUCAAUAAAUUUUUCAUAUCAUCAAAAGGGUCAAUUAUUUAAGUAGAUUAUCAUAAAAGUUAAACUUGGCAUAUUAUGUUGAUUUAUUGCUCCCAGAGGGACAUGUUUCAAUCAUUUAUUUCUGUUAAUGUGGAUGACUUUGGCUUACAGCUAAUAAAAAAUCCAAAUUUAGUUUCUCAAAAUAUUACAUCGGACCAACGUCUUUUAAUAUAAGAAUGUUUUUGUGAUGGCCAUGUUAUGGUCUUCACACAUGGGGGAAGACUGCUGACUUGAUACUUGUCCAGUGAGCAGUCAGUGACGCCCUCCACAAGGAGGAUAAGCCACAAAAGUGAAUUGUUAAAGAACAAUGAACAUUUUUUCCCCUGAUUAUUGAGAGAACUUAAAUAGCUAUUGACAUAUUUUUUUAUUAUAUGAUGUCUGUCUCAUAUCCUAUCAGAAACAAACAUUUUAGUUGAAUGAAAAUGAUUUUAAAUCUAAAUCUGCCAAGGGUUUGAAUAAUGUUGAUAUUAACUGCACCUUAUUUGUACCCUUUUCUAACCAUUUGACUCUUGUAAUGUUUAUGUGUGGCUGUGGAAGAGGUUAUUUCAAAUCAUGGUUUAAAUAAAAUGCCUUAAAAUGGCAAA